rnacentral:rRNA from 1 species
CCUACGGGGGGCAGCAGUGGGGAAUAUUGCACAAUGGGCGCAAGCCUGAUGCAGCCAUGCCGCGUGUGUGAAGAAGGCCUUCGGGUUGUAAAGCACUUUCAGCGGGGAGGAAGGCGGUGAGGUUAAUAACCUCAUCGAUUGACGUUACCCGCAGAAGAAGCACCGGCUAACUCCGUGCCAGCAGCCGCGGUAAUACGGAGGGUGCAAGCGUUAAUCGGAAUUACUGGGCGUAAAGCGCACGCAGGCGGUCUGUCAAGUCGGAUGUGAAAUCCCCGGACUCAACCUGGGAACUGCAUUCGAAACUGGCAGGCUAGAGUCUUGUAGAGGGGGGUAGAAUUCCAGGUGUAGCGGUGAAAUGCGUAGAGAUCUGGAGGAAUACCGGUGGCGAAGGCGGCCCCCUGGACAAAGACUGACGCUCAGGUGCGAAAGCGUGGGGAGCAAACAGGAUUAGAUACCCCUGUAGUC